GAUGAAGAACGUAGCGAAAUGCGAUACGUAAUGUGAAUUGCAGAAUUCAGUGAAUCAUCGAAUCUUUGAACGCAUAUUGCGCUCUCUGGUAUUCCGGAGAGCAUGCUUGUUUGAGUAUCAGUAAACACCUCAACUUCCAUAUCUUUUUUGAAAUGGGAGUUGGACUUGAGUGAUCCCAACGCUUUUCCUCACCGAAAAGUGGCGGGUUACUUGAAAUGCAGGUGCAGCUGGACUUUUCUCUGAGCUAUAAGCAUAUCUAUUUAGUCUGCCUAAAAAACAGAUUAUUACCUUUGCUGCAGCUAACAUAAAGGAGAUUAGUUCUUGUGCUGACUGUUGCAGGAUUCACAAAGACAGGCUUCGGCCGACUUUGUAAACUCGAUCUCAAAUCAAGUAAGACUACCCGCUGAACUUAAGCAUAUCAAUAAGCGGAGGA
rnacentral:misc_RNA from 1 species